AGACCCGAAACCCGGUGAUCUAGCCAUGGGCAGGUUGAAGGUUGGGUAACACUAACUGGAGGACCGAACCGACUAAUGUUGAAAAAUUAGCGGAUGACCUGUGGCUGGGGGUGAAAGGCCAAUCAAACCGGGAGAUAGCUGGUUCUCCCCGAAAGCUAUUUAGGUAGCGCCUCGUGAAUUCAUCUCCGGGGGUAGAGCACUGUUUCGGCUAGGGGGCCAUCCCGGCUUACCAACCCGAUGCAAACUGCGAAUACCGGAGAAUGUUAUCACGGGAGACACACGGCGGGUGCUAACGUCCGUCGUGAAGAGGGAAACAACCCAGACCGCCAGCUAAGGUCCCAAAGUCAUGGUUAAGUGGGAAACGAUGUGGGAAGGCCCAGACAGCCAGGAUGUUGGCUUAGAAGCAGCCAUCAUUUAAAGAAAGCGUAAUAGCUCACUGGUCGAGUCGGCCUGCGCGGAAGAUGUAACGGGGCUAAACCAUGCACCGAAGCUGCGGCAGCGAACGUAUCACCCAAGACAACUUUACGGAGUUGACGAUUGACGGAGCGAAGCGACGUCAAAGCGUUCAUUAAAGUCGAGUUGGCUUAGGGAUACGUUCGUUGGGUAGGGGAGCGUUCUGUAAGCCUGUGAAGGUGUGUCGUGAGGCAUGCUGGAGGUAUCAGAAGUGCGAAUGCUGACAUAAGUAACGAUAAAGCGGGUGAAAAGCCCGCUCGCCGGAA
rnacentral:rRNA from 2 species